AUCUCUCUCUGGAGAUUGCUCCUUAUGGAGUUUCUUGUGAACCUACAACACCAGUGCUUGUUAGUACUGCUCAAGUUGGAGAAGCCCUCAUCCUUGGGAUGUUGAACUGGCAGGGAGCAUAAUGCCUGCUAAUAUUGCCUCUGAGGCUGUAAUUUAUAAUUUUUGUUUUUGAAUUAACUUACUAGACUAGGAGAAGGAUCCAAGUCAAGUGGUAAAUGUCAGUUGGAGAGCCAAGACAGCCUGGAUCUUUUAGAAACAUGACAGUAUUUCCUGGCUUCAAGAUACGCUGGGAAAUUUGAAGAUAUGGCACAUAUAAAAAGCUUUUUAAGGUUUAAAUGUAUGCAUUUCAUACUGCAGGGAGUAAUCUGUUUUGUGGUUAAUGCAAGUCCAUUGGCAGAGAAUCGUAAUCUGUUUGCUAUAGAGUAUCACUUUUCACAGGACAGUGUCCUACUUAGUCAAUCCCAAUUUAGGAAUUAGUUACUUAAUCAUCUCUCCCAACUACUGAUUUCUAAGAUUAAGACUUGCAACUACUUUUUUAGUGACAACUGUUAUAUCUUAUGAAAACAGCUUUUGUAUGCGUUUGACACCUUUAGCCUCAAUCCAUUGUGCUAAUAAAGGGAGAUUAAUCGUUCAUUAUUUAACAGCUCUGCUAUGGUUAUCUCAACAUUCUUUAAGUGAAAACAUGUCUAUUAAUCAGAACGGGGACUCAGUAAAUUAAAAGAGAAAACAUAAAGAGCAACUGAUAUCAGAAGAGCUGCAGUCUUUUCUACACUUUUUGCAUGACAUAAUCAUAGCACAGUCACAUUUUGUUACAGACUCCAAAUGUGCUUCAUCUUCACCUUUCUGUCUCCAUGACCUGGAGACAAUGGAAAUCAGCACCUUGACCUCUCUGUUUAAAAUUCCUAGCGCAUGCUGGAAAAGAAUGCUUUUAUUUUCCUGGUUAAUUAGCAAUUGGACAGAAAAACUGGGAGACUGUAAGCAUUAUGAAUAACAAUUAAUGUAGCAGAAAUAUGUAUAUUUAUAUAAAUGUACAUAAAAACCUAAGAAAACAAUAUAUUUUCUAUAAAUUUUGCAGCU
ensembl:lncRNA